GACGAACGCUGGCGGCGUGCUUAACACAUGCAAGUCGAACGAGUGGCGAACGGGUGAGUAAAACGUGGGAACCUGCCCUCCUUUUUGGGAUAAGCCUUGGAAACGGGGUCUAAUACCGAAAAAAGGGGGAUGGGAUAGCGGCCUAUCAGGUUGGUGGGGGGGUGUUGGCCUACCAAGGCGGUGACGGGUAGCCGGUUUGAGAGGAUGACCAGCCACACUGGAACUGAGACACGGUCCAGACUCCUACGGGAGGCAGCAGUGGGGAAUAUUGCACAAUGGGCGCAAGCCUGAUGCAGCCAUGCCGCGUGUGUGAAGAAGGCCUUCGGGUUGUAAAGCACUUUCAGCGAGGAGGCGUUACUCGCAGAAGAAGCACCGGCUAACUCCGUGCCAGCAGCUGCGGUAAUUC
rnacentral:rRNA from 1 species